GUAGUCAUAUGCUUGUCUCAAAGAUUAAGCCAUGCAUGUCUAAGUAUAAGCAAUUAUACCGUGAAACUGCGAAUGGCUCAUUAAAUCAGUUAUCGUUUAUUUGAUAGUACCUUACUACUUGGGUAACCGUGGUAAUUCUAGAGCUAAUACAUGCUAAAAACCCCAACUUCGGGAGGGGUGUAUUUAUUAGAUAAAAAACCAAUGCCCUUCGGGGCUCCUUGGUGAUUCAUAUUAACUUAACGAAUCGCAUGGCCUUGUGCCGGCGAUGGUUCAUUCAAAUUUCUGCCCUAUCAACUUUCGAUUGUAAGGUCUUGGCUUACAAUGGUUUCAACGGGUAACGGGGAAU
rnacentral:rRNA from 1 species